rnacentral:lncRNA from 10 species
ACUCUCCCACCACGCACUUUUCGUAUCAUCCUAGAUCUGGAUGCCCUUCAUGGAACCUAAAAACCAGCGAGUCCCGGAAAGGCCUCAGGCAAUUGCCAAGCCGAUGGCCUUCUGCCACUUAGUUAAUGUGCACCUGGCAGCUUAGGUGGCCGCGGAGAAAGCAACUUUGGCUGCACCAAGGUCCGGCACAAGUCUGGAGAAGCUUCAGCCAGUUCCAGUGAGUUGGGAUAAAUGAAACGUGGAUCUACCAUAGACGUCUGUCCGUCUUACUGGAUAAGCGAGCACCUUUACCGGGGAAGUUAGGCUUUGGUAUCAGGAUGACGCUGGCCUCAUAAAAUGAGUUAGGGAGGAUUCCCUCUCUUUCUAUUGAUUGGAAUAGUUUCAGAAGGAAUGGUACCAGCUACUCCUUGUACCUCUGGUAGAAUUCGGCUGUCAGUCUGUCUGGUCCUGGACUUUUUUUGGUUGAUGGCUGGAGUCAGCUGGCAAAUACAGAAGCAGGAAACAUUACACUGAAGCUCAGAAAAUAAUAUCCCCAAAUGAAGGCAUCAGAAAUAAAAGUUCUUCUCUGACCUUCUUUCUCUGUAGGUCAUAAGACCUCCAUUCCAUAGAGGGCCCUGUGCCACACCCAGAAGGAAGGAACGCUGCUCAGAGAGGCCAAGAUGAGUCUAGACAGGCAGGCCCUGCUGGGGUUUCCCAACUCCAUCUAUUAGCAUUAGAUCAUACCCUUAUUGUCCAAUCAUAUUUCUCCAUUGCUGCUCGUACUUUGUUGAACCUAAGCAAAAAUCGGACAAUUUUC